AGCGGCUCACAAUUUCGCCCAGCUCAUCCCUGCACCACUGCGCCUGCGCGGCGCGCGCGCCGGCCGAGCCCCUCCAUGGCUCACUAUUUGACAGUUCCCACCCGGGUCCCCCGGAACCCCCUCCGCGGGCUCGCACAGGCCGGAGCGCCCGAGGCUGAGGGGCUGGCCCCGGGAAGGCUUCCUCGGAGCCGGGGCUGCCUUUUACCUGCAGGAUACUCGACGUGGGUGAGGGUCACCGGCCGCCAUGAAGCAGGGAGCGAGCACUGUCCGUCCGCUGCCAUCUUACCCGGAGACCGGGCUUCGCCGAGCAGCCAAUCGGGAACCAGGGGGGCGGUGGUCCUGACCUAUCACGCCGGGGAGGCGCCGUGCACCCAAUCGGAGGCCGAUACAGGUAGCGGCGCAGCCAUUCAGCGUGCAGGCCGUGGGGCUGGCCCGAACAGCGAAUCAGAGAGGGGGGGCCCUGGGAACCAGCGAGCCGACCCAGCUGGCGCCCAAUCUGGGACGAGCACAGAAGCUUCUGGAAGGCAAGGCCUGGAGUUCCACGCACCCUGGGACCAAAUCCCUGAGACAGAAAUGGUCAGGCUCAUUCCCUGGGCUGCCUGGAGCACUUGCUGACUUCUGCCAUGUAAAUACUCCCUCCUGGGCCCCGUCAAGCUGCCAUCACACUGUUGCUCUGAGAAAGCUGGGAAGCCUCGCCGCCCCCUGGAGAGCGGGCGGUGCAAGCCCCAGCGCACUCCACCCCUGCCUGGGCAGCACCUGGCACAAGGUGCGGCACACCCUAAGUGCACAGUAAAUAAAUAGCUAUUCUGCAA